rnacentral:rRNA from 1 species
GGUUAAGCGACUAAGCGUACACGGUGGAUGCCCUGGCAGUCAGAGGCGAUGAAGGACGUGCUAAUCUGCGAAAAGCGUCGGUAAGGUGAUAUGAACCGUUAUAACCGGCGAUGUCCGAAUGGGGAAACCCAGUGCAAUUCGUUGCACUAUCGUUAACUGAAUACAUAGGUUAACGAGGCGAACCGGGGGAACUGAAACAUCUAAGUACCCCGAGGAAAAGAAAUCAACCGAGAUUCCCCCAGUAGCGGCGAGCGAACGGGGAGCAGCCCAGAGUCUGAAUCAGCUUGUGUGUUAGUGGAACGGUCUGGAAAGUCCGACGGUACAGGGUGAUAGUCCCGUACACCAAAAUGCACAGGCUGUGAACUCGAAGAGUAGGGCGGGACACGUGGUAUCCUGUCUGAAUAUGGGGGGACCAUCCUCCAAGGCUAAAUACUCCUGACUGACCGAUAGUGAACCAGUACCGUGAGGGAAAGGCGAAAAGAACCCCAGCGAGGGGAGUGAAAAAGAACCUGAAACCGUGUACGUACAAGCAGUGGGAGCACCUUCGGGUGUGACUGCGUACCUUUUGUAUAAUGGGUCAGCGACUUAUAUUCUGUAGCAAGGUUAACCGUAUAGGGGAGCCGCAGGGAAACCGAGUCUUAACUGGGCGUUAAGUUGCAGGGUAUAGACCCGAAACCCGGUGAUCUAGCCAUGGGCAGGUUGAAGGUUGGGUAACACUAACUGGAGGACCGAACCGACUAAUGUUGAAAAAUUAGCGGAUGACUUGUGGCUGGGGGUGAAAGGCCAAUCAAACCGGGAGAUAGCUGGUUCUCCCCGAAAGCUAUUUAGGUAGCGCCUCGUGAACUCAUCUUCGGGGGUAGAGCACUGUUUCGGCUAGGGGGUCAUCCCGACUUACCAACCCGAUGCAAACUACGAAUACCGAAGAAUGUUAUCACGGGAGACACACGGCGGGUGCUAACGUCCGUCGUGAAGAGGGAAACAACCCAGACCGCCAGCUAAGGUCCCAAAGUCAUGGUUAAGUGGGAAACGAUGUGGGAAGGCACAGACAGCCAGGAUGUUGGCUUAGAAGCAGCCAUCAUUUAAAGAAAGCGUAAUAGCUCACUGGUCGAGUCGGCCUGCGCGGAAGAUGUAACGGGGCUAAACCAUGCACCGAAGCUGCGGCAGCGACACUAUGUGUUGUUGGGUAGGGGAGCGUUCUGUAAGCCUGCGAAGGUGUGCUGUGAGGCAUGCUGGAGGUAUCAGAAGUGCGAAUGCUGACAUAAGUAACGAUAAAGCGGGUGAAAAGCCCGCUCGCCGGAAGACCAAGGGUUCCUGUCCAACGUUAAUCGGGGCAGGGUGAGUCGACCCCUAAGGCGAGGCCGAAAGGCGUAGUCGAUGGGAAACAGGUUAAUAUUCCUGUACUUGGUGUUACUGCGAAGGGGGGACGGAGAAGGCUAUGUUAGCCGGGCGACGGUUGUCCCGGUUUAAGCAUGUAGGCUGAUUGUCCAGGCAAAUCCGGAUAAUCAAGGCUGAGGUGUGAUGACGAGGCACUACGGUGCUGAAGUAACAAAUGCCCUGCUUCCAGGAAAAGCCUCUAAGCAUCAGGUAACAUCAAAUCGUACCCCAAACCGACACAGGUGGUCAGGUAGAGAAUACCAAGGCGCUUGAGAGAACUCGGGUGAAGGAACUAGGCAAAAUGGUGCCGUAACUUCGGGAGAAGGCACGCUGGUGUGUAGGUGAAGUCCCUGCGGAUGGAGCUGAGACCAGUCGAAGAUACCAGCUGGCUGCAACUGUUUAUUAAAAACACAGCACUGUGCAAACACGAAAGUGGACGUAUACGGUGUGACGCCUGCCCGGUGCCGGAAGGUUAAUUGAUGGGGUUAUCCGUAAGGAGAAGCUCUUGAUCGAAGCCCCGGUAAACGGCGGCCGUAACUAUAACGGUCCUAAGGUAGCGAAAUUCCUUGUCGGGUAAGUUCCGACCUGCACGAAUGGCGUAAUGAUGGCCAGGCUGUCUCCACCCGAGACUCAGUGAAAUUGAACUCGCUGUGAAGAUGCAGUGUACCCGCGGCAAGACGGAAAGACCCCGUGAACCUUUACUAUAGCUUGACACUGAACAUUGAGCCUUGAUGUGUAGGAUAGGUGGGAGGCUUUGAAGCGUGGACGCCAGUCUGCGUGGAGCCAACCUUGAAAUACCACCCUUUAAUGUUUGAUGUUCUAACGUUGGCCCCUGACCGGGGUUGCGGACAGUGUCUGGUGGGUAGUUUGACUGGGGCGGUCUCCUCCCAAAGCGUAACGGAGGAGCACGAAGGUUAGCUAAUCCUGGUCGGACAUCAGGAGGUUAGUGCAAUGGCAUAAGCUAGCUUGACUGCGAGCGUGACGGCGCGAGCAGGUGCGAAAGCAGGUCAUAGUGAUCCGGUGGUUCUGAAUGGAAGGGCCAUCGCUCAACGGAUAAAAGGUACUCCGGGGAUAACAGGCUGAUACCGCCCAAGAGUUCAUAUCGACGGCGGUGUUUGGCACCUCGAUGUCGGCUCAUCACAUCCUGGGGCUGAAGUAGGUCCCAAGGGUAUGGCUGUUCGCCAUUUAAAGUGGUACGCGAGCUGGGUUUAGAACGUCGUGAGACAGUUCGGUCCCUAUCUGCCGUGGGCGCUGGAGAAUUGAGGGGGCUGCUCCUAGUACGAGAGGACCGGAGUGGACGCAUCACUGGUGUUCGGGUUGUCAUGCCAAUGGCACUGCCCGGUAGCUAAAUGCGGAAGAGAUAAGUGCUGAAAGCAUCUAAGCACGAAACUUGCCCCGAGAUGAGUUCUCCCUGAGACUUUAAGUCUCCUGAAGGAACGUUAAAGACGAUGACGUUGAUAGGCCGGGUGUGUAAGCGCAGCGAUGCGUUGAGCUAACCGGUACUAAUGAACCGUGAGGCUUAACCUU